rnacentral:rRNA from 1 species
CUACGGGACGCACCAGUGGGGAAUAUUGCACAAUGGGCGCAAGCCUGAUGCAGCCAUGCCGCGUGUAUGAAGAAGGCCUUCGGGUUGUAAAGUACUUUCAGCGGGGAGGAAGGGAGUAAAGUUAAUACCUUUGCUCAUUGACGUUACCCGCAGAAGAAGCACCGGCUAACUCCGUGGCCAGCAGCCGCGGUAAUACGGAGGGUGCAAGCGUUAAUCGGAAUUACUGGGCGUAAAGCGCACGCAGGCGGUUUGUUAAGUCAGAUGUGAAAUCCCCGGGCUCAACCUGGGAGCUGCAUCUGAUACUGGCAAGCUUGAGUCUCGUAGAGGGGGGUAGAAUUCCAGGUGUAGCGGUGAAAUGCGUAGGGAUCUGGAGGAAUACCGGUGGCGAAGGCGGCCCCCUGGACGAAGACUGACGCUCAGGUGCGAAAGCGUGGGGAGCAAACAGGAUUAGAUACCCCAGUAGUC